UAGAAAAUCCCGUACCAUAAUCGGUCAAGUGUUUGUCUAUGAGUGCUUCACUAAUUUGGUCAUUAAUUGGCAUCGGCUAUAUGGAUGGGCUCCACAUUCAUACACAUAUCUGCGAGUAUACGUGUAUGUCUCUAUAUGUGGGCGCCAGUGAUGAUCAAAAGCCUUUUCAAAGUCACGGCUUAAGCUUCAUUUUGGCACUAGUUCGGAUAGGCAUACCAUUGUCUGUGCCAAAAGUCUACACAUCUACAUCUACAAUCCGAAAUGGCCUUGUUAUCCACCUGUAGAGGGUAUAACAAUUGAGUGGCGGCUGUUCAACGGGAGCCUCUGCAGUUGCAGUUUCAGUUGCAGUUUGAGUUUCAGUUCAGUUCGGUUUCAGUUUCAGAAAUGCUGAAAACAGUCAUGGCGGGCGGGGGACGACAAUAUACGAGACAACACUUAUGGAAUGGCCAAUGCCAGAGGGAAGGCGAAAGAGAGAGGGAGCAGAGCAGUCUCGAUAAGCCAUCGUUGUCCCCCCAAUAGCUAUCUGAAUCUGUAUCUAAAUCUAUCUCUAUAUCUGUAUCUAUAUCUGUAUCUGUAUCGGUAUCGAGUUGCCUUUUUAUGAGUGCUUGUCGUAAUUAUUGCUGAACUUAUGGCCGAGCGAUAAGCGGUGAGCGGUUGCCUGUACUCGUAUUAAUUAAGUUGCCGCUCGGCUUUUGGCAAUAACUCAACGUGUUUAGCGGCAAACAGAACAUGCAUUCACCUCUGGCAAAAUGCUGCCGGUAUAUAUGUAUGUAUUUGUAUCUGUAUCUGCAUCCGUACCGAAUGUAGCAGCUACCUGAACAUGCGACUUGCAACUGCAACUGCAACUGCAAGUUGCAACCAAAUCAGAUAAACAAGCUGCGCAAUUGCAACAAGCGUAGUUUGCACUAAUAACAACUCAAUAAAUAAUAAAAGCAACAUUCUCAAUCGGCAACUCCACAAAAAAAACCACGUAAAACCAGCGACAAUAAA